AUUGAACGCUGGCGGCAUGCCUUACACAUGCAAGUCGAACGGCAGCACGGACUUCGGUCUGGUGGCGAGUGGCGAACGGGUGAGUAAUGUAUCGGAACGUACCCUUCAGUGGGGGAUAACUAUCCGAAAGGAUAGCUAAUACCGCAUAUUCUCUGAGGAGGAAAGCGGGGGAUCGCAAGACCUCGCGCUGAUGGAGCGGCCGAUAUCAGAUUAGCUAGUUGGUGGGGUAAAGGCCUACCAAGGCGACGAUCUGUAGCGGGUCUGAGAGGAUGAUCCGCCACACUGGGACUGAGACACGGCCCAGACUCCUACGGGAGGCAGCAGUGGGGAAUUUUGGACAAUGGGGGCAACCCUGAUCCAGCCAUGCCGCGUGAGUGAAGAAGGCCUUCGGGUUGUAAAGCUCUUUCGGCCGGGAAGAAAUCGCGUGAGUUAAUACCUUGCGUGGAUGACGGUACCGGAAUAAGAAGCACCGGCUAACUACGUGCCAGCCGCCGCUGUAAUAC
rnacentral:rRNA from 1 species